CGUGACGUCAACACCGGUUGGGCUGACGCAGGAGCAUGCGCACAGUUAAUAUGGAUUGUGAGAAUUUGCGCCGGAUGUCAUAGCUGGAAAGAAAUGUUAGUGUCUCCCAUUCACAGGCGAGCAUUGAACAAUUUGAGAGCUGGAUAGAAAACAAGAGACAGAGGAGCCAGUCCAAAAGCUUCUAAACUCAUUCUGUCCGUCCUUGAUCUCCUUGAACUGCUGCAGUUCGUGUGGUGAAGCUGUCUGAAAAGGGGUAAAAGAAUUUUCAUCCAGUGGUGAUAAGCCUUCCCUGAACCAGUCAGGCUGAAGCAAAAUCCUGGAGCAGGGUCUGUUCGUUAUGGGAGAGAGGGAGUGUCAGAAACCCAAGACAGUUGGGACCCACUGGAAUGGCUGAGAAGAACGUAGUGCAGUUUCUCCGUUCCUGGGAAGUACUGGACAAUGAAGGGUACCCGAUCGGUUGCAGUUCAUGUCUGUCUCCUGAGGAAGUCAUUACAGUUUCUCACUGUGGCACAUCAGAACUGGCGAUUGAUGAGUGUUUUGCAAAUGAACGAUUUCAAAUUAAACCACAUCUGGAUCUGACAGUCAUUCUGUUUGCAAUGACCUCAUUAUCUCAGGAUUUUGAACACUGAAGGAAAAAGCACUGUUCACACCGGGGAGAAACACAUACUGUGUGUAUGGAAAGGUCUGUGAAGAUUCAUCUGAAAUGCCCAAACUCCAGCGCAGUCACACUGGGGAGAGAUGAUGGAAAUGUAGGGAUUGUGAGAAGGGAUUUCUUUACCCAUCCCAGCUGGAAAUGUACCAACCUAGUCACACUGAGGAGAAGCUGUUCAUCUAAUCUGAUUGUGGGAUGGGAUUGACUCAGUCAUCCAACUUGCAGAUACACCAGUGCCGUUACACUGUGGAGAAGCCAUUCACUUGAUCUGUGUGUGGGAAAGAUUUCAUUCAGUCAUCCAACCUACAGAUACACCAGAGAGUUCACACUGCAGAGAGACUGUUCAAUUGCUGUCAGUGUGGGUUGGAAUUCACUCGCCCAUCCAGCCUGCAGAUACACCAACGCAGUCACUCUGUGGAAAGACCAUUCACUUGCUCCGUGUGUGGAAAGGGAUCCACUCAGUCAACCAACCUGCUGAUCCACCAGUGAAUUCUCACUGGAGAGAGACUGUUCACCUGCUCCCAAUGUUGGAGAGGGUUUAACCAAUCAUUCCACCUGCGCAGAAACCAGGGAGUUCACACUGAAAAAAAAAAUCCUCUCAGUCAACUCAACUGCUGACAAAUCAGUGUCUUCAUUCUGGAGAGAGACUGUUCACCUUUCCCACCCUACCAUCCAAACUGUUAACGCAGCACUGAAAUGACACUGGGUGGAUCGCGUUCACCUGCUCUGUUUGUGUAAAAGGAUUUGUGUUUGCAAACACAUCAGGAAAUUUACAAAGAACUGCAGGUGAAGGGUUUUGCUUGUACUUACACCAAGCAAUGUGCCUUGAUCAUUGGGCUGUUUGUAUUGACAUUAUUAAACUCUACUCUAUUAAAGAUACUAAUAUUGUAGGUAAAAUGUUGAUACAAUGUGUAUCUGCUUAAUAGGUUUCAAAAAUGAUCACAACGUUGCUGUGAUAUAUAUACACUAGGUGAAGACUGUUCACCUGCAUAUUGUUUGUGAAGUGAUUUUGUGGUUCGUCAGGACUGGUUAGACAGCAAUGAGUUCCCUGGUAACUGUCAGCAUUGGGUUUUGAAACUGUUGUUUUCAAGGACAAGAAUGGGUCUGCAAUUAAGGUUCUGAAUUGGGUGAUUUUAAUAAGGCCAGAUAUGAUUUGGCCAGAGUGCACAGGGAGCAGAUACUUUCAGGUAAAUGUGCAAAAGAGAACUGAACUUUGGAGAUAAGGAGAACUAUAAGGGGAAUGAAUUGAUGCUGCCAAGUAAAAUAAAGAAGAACGCUCAGUUGUUUACAGGUACAUUUAUGGUUAAAUGAUUACAGGGGAAAGAUAAGGCCCAUUAAUGACCACAGCAGUAAUCUGUGUGUAGAACCAGAGGAUACAAGCAUGGUUCUAAAUUAAUACUUUGUGUCAACAUUCACUCGUGAGAGAGAUGAAUCAGGAAGAAGGUCUGUGACGGAAUGUAAAGAAAUUAGCAAAGAGAGAGAGAGAGGAAGUAUUGAGUAGUCUGGCAGGCUUAAAUGCAGAUCAAUAUCCCAGGGUCAAGUGAAAUAAAUCCUACAUUGUUGGAUCGAAAUAGCAGGAGGUCUUGCAAAAAUAUUCAAUUCCCCUCUGAUCACAGGAAAGGUGCUUGAGCACUGAAGGACAGUCAAAGUAGAACUUUAAUUCGAGAAGGCAGCAAGGGAUAAACCAAGGAACUGCAAGUCCGUCGGUCUCACCUCGGUGAUGGGGAGACUAUUGGAAGUAAUUCUGAUGGACAGAUUUAUUUGGAGAGGCAGGGAUUAAUCAAAAACAAUCAGGAUGCAUUUUGUCAAGGGGAGUUCAUGCCUAACCAACUUGGUUCAAUGUUUUGAUGAGGUGUCCAGUUGGGUCAAUGAGUGCAAUAUUUCUGAUGUAGUCUGUUUGGACAUCAGCACGGCUUUUGAUAAAGAGAGACUGAUAGCAAAGUUAAGUGCCCAUGGGGUCCACAGAAAUUUGGCAAAUUGGAUCCACAAUCAGCUGAAUGGCAAGAAAGGGUUUUUUUUUUCCUGACUGGCUGCCUGUGUCCAUUGGGGUCCCACAGUGUUCAGUGUUGCACUCUUGCUGUUUAUGGUUUAAAUAAAUGAUUUUGACAUGAAUGAAAGAAGGUUAAUCAGUUAGUUUGCAGAUGAGAUAAAAAAAAACACAGUUGGGAAAUAGUGAGCAGGACAGCCUUAGUUUACAGGAGGGUAAAGACAGGCUGGUCAGAUGAGCUGAUCAAUGGUAAAUGUAACUCAAUCUGUAUUAGUGACAUAUUUGGAUGGGACAACUGGUCAUUACAUUCAGCUGUUAUCCAAAAUAUUAGUCCUAGUAAAUCUCCUCUGAACCCUUUCCAAAGCUUCCACGUCCUUCCUAUAAUGUGGUGAGCAGAACUGUAUGC